rnacentral:rRNA from 1 species
UACGGAGGGUGCGAGCGUUGUCCGGAAUCACUGGGCGUAAAGGGCGCGUAGGCGGCCUGAUAAGUAGGGGGUGAAAUCUUGCGGCUUAACCGCAAGGCUGCCUUCUAAACUGUCAGGCUAGAGCACAGUAGAGGCAGGUGGAAUUCCCGGUGUAGCGGUGGAAUGCGUAGAGAUCGGGAGGAACACCGGUGGCGAAGGCGGGUCUCUGGGCAAUUCCUGACGCUGAGGCGCGAAAGCGUGGGGGAGCAAACGGG